GACGAACGCUGGCGGCGUGCCUAAUACAUGCGAGUCGAACGCUUUUUCUUUCACCGGAGCUUGCUCCAUCGAAAGAAAAAGAGUGGCGAACGGGUGAGUAACACGUGGGUAACCUGCCCAUCAGAAGGGGAUAACACUUGGAAACAGGUGCUAAUACCGUAUAACACUAUUUUCCGCAUGGAAGAAAGUUGAAAGGCGCUUUUGCGUCACUGAUGGAUGGACCCGCGGUGCAUUAGCUAGUUGGUGAGGUAACGGCUCACCAAGGCAACGAUGCAUAGCCGACCUGAGAGGGUGAUCGGCCACACUGGGACUGAGACACGGCCCAGACUCCUACGGGAGGCAGCAGUAGGGAAUCUUCGGCAAUGGACGAAAGUCUGACCGAGCAACGCCGCGUGAGUGAAGAAGGUUUUCGGAUCGUAAGACUCUGUUGUUAGAGAAGAACAAGGAUGAGAGUAAAAUGUUCAUCCCUUGACGGUAUCUAACCAGAAAGCCACGGCUAACUACGUGCCAGCCGCCGCGGUAA
rnacentral:rRNA from 1 species